GCUUGGGAAUAUGCCUUUAGGUGGGGGACAACAGUUGGAAACGACUGCUAAUACCGCAUAAUGUCUACGGACCAAAGGAGGGGAUCUUCGGACCUUUCGCCUUUAGAUUAGCCCAAGUGAGAUUAGCUAGUUGGUGGGGUAAUGGCCCACCAAGGCGACGAUCUCUAGCUGGUCUGAGAGGAUAAUCAGCCACACUGGAACUGAGACACGGCCCGGACCUCCCUACGGGAGGCAGCAGGUGGGGAAUAUUGGACAAGUCGGGGGAAACCCUGAUCCAGCCAUGCCGCGUGUGUAGAAAGA
rnacentral:rRNA from 1 species